rnacentral:rRNA from 1 species
GCGUGCGUAGGCGGCCAAUUAAGUCAAAUGUGAAAUCCCCGAGCUUAACUUGGGAAUUGCAUUCGAUACUGGUUGGCUAGAGUAUGGGAGAGGAUGGUAGAAUUCCAGGUGUAGCGGUGAAAUGCGUAGAGAUCUGGAGGAAUACCGAUGGCGAAGGCAGCCAUCUGGCCUAAUACUGACGCUGAGGUACGAAAGCAUGGGGAGCAAACAGGAUUAGAUACCCUGGUAGUCCAUGCCGUAAACGAUGUCUACUAGCCGUUGGGGCCCUUGAGGCUUUAGUGGCGCAGCUAACGCGAUAAGUAGACCGCCUGGGGAGUACGGUCGCAAGACUAAAACUCAAAUGAAUUGACGGGGGCCCGCACAAGCGGUGGAGCAUGUGGUUUAAUUCGAUGCAACGCGAAGAACCUUACCUGGCCUUGACAUACAGAGAACUUUCCAGAGAUGGAUUGGUGCCUUCGGGAACUCUGAUACAGGUGCUGCAUGGCUGUCGUCAGCUCGUGUCGUGAGAUGUUGGGUUAAGUCCCGCAACGAGCGCAACCCUUUUCCUUAUUUGCCAGCACUUCGGGUGGGAACUUUAAGGAUACUGCCAGUGACAAACUGG